rnacentral:rRNA from 1 species
AGUCGAGCGGGAUGGUAGCUGAAGGUGAUGAGCUGGAAGCUGCCAUCUUAGCGGCGGACGGUGAGUAACACGUGAGCAACCUACCCUCAGCACGGGGAUAACAGCUCGAAAGGGCUGCUAAUACCCGAUGGGACCACGUCAUUGCAUGGGUGAUGUGGCAGAAAAAAGAGUUGGAGGUAAGGUCCAUACCGGCUGGGGAUGGGCUCGCGGCCCAUCAGCUAGUUGGUGGGGUAACGGCCUACCAAGGCGACGUAGGGUAGCCGGCCUGAGAGGGUGACCGGCCACAGUGGGACUGAGACACGGCCCACACUCCUACGGGGGGCAGCAGCGGGGAAUCUUGCGCAAUGGGCGAAAGCCUGACGCAGCGACGCCGCGUGAGGGAAGGAGCCCUUCGGGGUGUAAACCUCUUUGGACGGGGGAGAAGUAGGAGAUUGUACCCGUUUUAAAAAGCCACGGCUAACUGCGUGCCAGCAGCCGCGGUAAUACGUAGGUGGCGAGCGUUGUCCGGAAUUACUGGGCGUAAAGGGUGCGUAUGCGGCCUGGUAAGUUGAGCGUGAAAUUUUUGGGCUCAACCCAAAAGGAGCGUUCAAGACUGCCAGGCUUGAGUGCGGGAGAGGACGGCGGAAUUCCCGGGGGUAGCGGUGAAAUGCGUAGAUAUCGGGAGGAACACCAGUGGCGAAAGGCGGGCCGUCUGGACUGUAACUGACGCUGAGGCACGAAAGCGUGGGGAGCAAACAGGAUUAGAUACCCCUGGUAGUCCACGCUGUAAACGAUGGAUGCUAGGUGUGGGGGAGAAGAACUCUUCCGUGCCGUAGUUAACACAAUAAGCAUCCCGCCUGGGGAGUACGGCCGCAAGGUU